rnacentral:tRNA from 1 species
CAGAACAUAAUUUAAGUAGAAUGCUGGCUUUGGGGGCCAUAUGUGGAGGUUAAAGUCCUUUUGUUCUGA